AAAAAUAAUGGCCUGAUGCUAGAAACUGAAGUAGCUAGAGAGGUCCUAUGAGAGUUGAAAUGAAGAUGGGAUCGAGGAAGCACGUAUUGCUGAUCACUGCCAGCCUCAUUUAGAUGCUAUUAUUACUGUAAAAUAGUAUUUAAUUAUUAUAUUCUUAUUAGAAUGCUGAUUUGGGGUGUGUGUGAGAAAAUGAGCUUCUCUAUUUGUGUAAAAUCCAGAGAUAUAAGAGUAAAUAUAAAAGGGAUUGUCGACAAAGAGAGCAUUUAUUUUGGUACAUGGAAGUCAAUUAUUCUCUCAUUAAAUGUCAAAUUGGAUGGCUCAGGAUGAGGCACAAAGUACGAAAAAUUUUUUAGCCUUUGAGUCUAUUCAAUGAUACUUUUACGACCACUUAUUUUGAAAUUCAAGGGAUAAGAAUGAUUGUGACCUAUAUGUGCAGAAGAAAAAUGGUCUCUUUAGGCAAUCCCUCUACAUAAAAGUUCCCAUGUAAGUUAUAAAAUUUAAGAUAAGAAAACCGAGACAAUAAAAUUUAAGAUGUAAAAAACUAAGAUAAGUUUAUAGGUGCCGUUGGAAGCUAGAAACAGCUCACAAUAUUGUGUACGUCGAGUCGAGCUCUGCGGAAGCACUCCAAUGGUCCCUCAGGCAAAGGAGAUACUUGUGAGGAUUUAGUUGAUCUGAAUUAUUCAGAUUUGUUUGGAGUAUCUAGAUGAGAAUUUUACAUAAGGAAUUAUGAUUUCGAGUUCUGAAACAUUUUGAUGUAACAGUCUAAAAAUUGGAUGGUCUCCGUUGGAUUGUAAGAGGAUUUUGAGUUUUCAAACACUUGAUGUGAUAAACUAAAAUUUGGAUGGUUGGAUUUUAAGAGGUUUUUGAGUUUUCAAACA